GCAUCAGCAGUAUUUGUUGGGAAACAUGGCAAAGUCAGGGGGAGCCCCGUAUUUCUCCUUAUCAUGUGGAUGGUAGCCGGCUCAGGGAACAAAGAAAGGUAUCUGAUCGAGGAAGUGGUUAAUUCACAAAACCAUAACUGAUGUGAGUCUGUAAGUCAAGCUGAGAAGGUGGCUCUGAGUAAACUGGAGUCCCAAGGGACACGGGAAGGGCCUCCCCACGUGGGUCAGCGAGGGUUCCCCUUGCUCCGUGGACACGGGGGACAGCAUGGCACAUCAGCCUGCCCUCACUCCGGCUGGCUCCUCUGCAUGAAGGAAUCCCCGCUAUCCUUGAAGGGCAUCUGUCUCCUCGCAUCCCCGCGGCUGGCAUCCCUGUCUUGCUGCUUGCUAAGAAUCCAGAACAGAUUCAGGGAGAAGCAGGCCGUGCAUUAAGGAAAUUGUUUGUGAAAUGUAUUGGAUUUAUGCUGAAAACAGUUAACAUCUCACAGAGCAGCACUGGGUCCUGAGAACUUCCAGAUCCUUGGUUCUUCCGAAUACCCCAGUGGCGGCUCGGAUCAAAGCAGACACCCGCAAAGGCAGGUGCUGAUGAUGCUGCCUCUCUCCUUUCUUCCUUUCGCUGCUCA
rnacentral:lncRNA from 12 species